rnacentral:rRNA from 1 species
GACAGAGGGGGCAAGCGUUGCUCGGAAUCACUGGGCGUAAAGGGCGCGUAGGCGGGAUGGCAAGUCGGUCGUGAAAUCUCUCGGCUCAACCGAGAAACGUCGGCCGAUACUGCCGUUCUUGAGGGAUGCAGAGGAGACUGGAAUUCCCGGUGUAGCGGUGAAAUGUGUAGAGAUCGGGAGGAACACCGGUGGCGAAGGCGGGUCUCUGGGCAUUUCCUGACGCUGAGGCGCGAAAGCGUGGGGAGGCAAACGGG